rnacentral:lncRNA from 1 species
GCCUGCACCACUGCGCCUGGCUGCUGUAAAGUCUUAUUUCACACAGCUGAGACAUGUUUUAGGAAGUUUGCUAAAAGACCCCUGGAGACCGCCUCAUUGUGACCUCCCUGUUAUUGUGUUUAAUUUGAUUGAACUUUUCUGCCUUCCUGCUUUUCAGCUUCUCUAAUAGUCUCCCAUUAAACCAAUUCUAAGAACCACCAAAAAGGGGAAAUUUUUUCUUGAAAGCAGUAAAAUGAUAUGGACUGUUAGAAUGUAAAAUAUAUGAAAUCAGUCAUUAUACGUUAGUGCUGCUCUGACAUAGGGAUGUAUUAUUGAGAAGCAACUUUUGCUUGAUUUUCAGAGAAAUGGAAUCGUCGUCUUUCAGUAUGGAGAUUGGAAAUUUAUUUACAUAUUUAUUGCAAAGCCC